rnacentral:rRNA from 1 species
GUCGAGCGAAGCACUUUAAUUCGAUUCUUCGGAUGAAGAUUUUUGUGACUGAGUGGCGGACGGGUGAGUAACGCGUGGGCAACCUGCCUUACACAGGGGGAUAACAGUUAGAAAUGACUGCUAAUACCGCAUAAGACCGCAGUACCGCAUGGUACAGCGGUAAAAACUCCGGUGGUGUAAGAUGGGCCCGCGUCUGAUUAGGUAGUUGGCGGGGUAACGGCCCACCAAGCCGACGAUCAGUAGCCGACCUGAGAGGGUGACCGGCCACAUUGGGACUGAGACACGGCCCAGACUCCUACGGGAGGCAGCAGUGGGGAAUAUUGCACAAUGGGGGAAACCCUGAUGCAGCGACGCCGCGUGAGCGAUGAAGUAUUUCGGUAUGUAAAGCUCUAUCAGCAGGGAAGAAAAUGACGGUACCUGACUAAGAAGCCCCGGCUAACUACGUGCCAGCAGCCGCGGUAAUACGUAGGGGGCAAGCGUUAUCCGGAUUUACUGGGUGUAAAGGGAGCGUAGACGGCUGUGCAAGCCAGAUGUGAAAGCCCGGGGCUCAACCCCGGGACUGCAUUUGGAACUGUGUGGCUGGAGUGUCGGAGAGGCAGGCGGAAUUCCUAGUGUAGCGGUGAAAUGCGUA